CCUACGGGCGGCUGCAGUGAGGAAUAUUGCGCAAUGGAGGCAACUCUGACGCAGCCAUGCCGCGUGCAGGAAGAAGGCGCUACGCGUUGUAAACUGCUUUUAACCGGGAAGAAACCCCAGGACGUGUCCUGGGUUGACGGUACCGGAGGAAUAAGCACCGGCUAACUUCGUGCCAGCAGCCGCGGUAAUACGAAGGGUGCAAGCGUUAUCCGGAUUCAUUGGUUCGAAGGGGUGGCUAUAAGGGGCGGGUGAAAGCCUACAGCUCAACUUUAGAAUUGCCAUUGAUACUGGCGCUCUUGAGUGCGCUUGAAGUAGGCGGAAUGUGCCGUGUAGCGGUGAAAUGCUUAGAUAUGGCACAGAACACCAAUUGCGAAGGCAGCUUACUAAGGCGAUACUGACACUGAGGCACGAAAGCGUGGGGAUCGAACAGGAUUAGAUACCCGAGUAGUC
rnacentral:rRNA from 1 species